rnacentral:tRNA from 1 species
GGAAAUAUGGCCGAGCGGUUUAAGGCACCGGUCUUGAAGACCGGUGACGGGUAACCGUCCGUGAGUUCGAAUCUCACCGUUUCCGCCA